rnacentral:rRNA from 1 species
UUGAACGCUGGCGGCAGGCCUAACACAUGCAAGUCGAGCGGUAGCACAGAGAGCUUGCUCUCGGGUGACGAGCGGCGGACGGGUGAGUAAUGUCUGGGAAACUGCCUGAUGGAGGGGGAUAACUACUGGAAACGGUAGCUAAUACCGCAUAACGUCGCAAGACCAAAGUGGGGGACCUUCGGGCCUCAUGCCAUCAGAUGUGCCCAGAUGGGAUUAGCUAGUAGGUGGGGUAACGGCUCACCUAGGCGACGAUCCCUAGCUGGUCUGAGAGGAUGACCAGCCACACUGGAACUGAGACACGGUCCAGACUCCUACGGGAGGCAGCAGUGGGGAAUAUUGCACAAUGGGCGCAAGCCUGAUGCAGCCAUGCCGCGUGUGUGAAGAAGGCCUUCGGGUUGUAAAGCACUUUCAGCGGGGAGGAAGGCGGUGAGGUUAAUAACCUCACCGAUUGACGUUACCCGCAGAAGAAGCACCGGCUAACUCCGUGCCAGCAGCCGCGGUAAUACGGAGGGUGCAAGCGUUAAUCGGAAUUACUGGGCGUAAAGCGCACGCAGGCGGUCUGUCAAGUCGGAUGUGAAAUCCCCGGGCUCAACCUGGGAACUGCAUUCGAAACUGGCAGGCUAGAGUCUUGUAGAGGGGGGUAGAAUUCCAGGUGUAGCGGUGAAAUGCGUAGAGAUCUGGAGGAAUACCGGUGGCGAAGGCGGCCCCCUGGACAAAGACUGACGCUCAGGUGCGAAAGCGUGGGGAGCAAACAGGAUUAGAUACCCUGGUAGUCCACGCCGUAAACGAUGUCGAUUUGGAGGUUGUGCCCUUGAGGCGUGGCUUCCGGAGCUAACGCGUUAAAUCGACCGCCUGGGGAGUACGGCCGCAAGGUUAAAACUCAAAUGAAUUGACGGGGGCCCGCACAAGCGGUGGAGCAUGUGGUUUAAUUCGAUGCAACGCGAAGAACCUUACCUGGUCUUGACAUCCACAGAACUUUCCAGAGAUGGAUUGGUGCCUUCGGGAACUGUGAGACAGGUGCUGCAUGGCUGUCGUCAGCUCGUGUUGUGAAAUGUUGGGUUAAGUCCCGCAACGAGCGCAACCCUUAUCCUUUGUUGCCAGCGGUUAGGCCGGGAACUCAAAGGAGACUGCCAGUGAUAAACUGGAGGAAGGUGGGGAUGACGUCAAGUCAUCAUGGCCCUUACGACCAGGGCUACACACGUGCUACAAUGGCAUAUACAAAGAGAAGCGACCUCGCGAGAGCAAGCGGACCUCAUAAAGUAUGUCGUAGUCCGGAUUGGAGUCUGCAACUCGACUCCAUGAAGUCGGAAUCGCUAGUAAUCGUAGAUCAGAAUGCUACGGUGAAUACGUUCCCGGGCCUUGUACACACCGCCCGUCACACCAUGGGAGUGGGUUGCAAAAGAAGUAGGUAGCUUAACCUUCGGGAGGGCGCUUACCACUUUGUGAUUCAUGACUGGGGUG